UUACUACAAUAUUCCAUUUUAAUGUAAUGAAGUAAAUAAUACCGAUUAUAUUUGCAUGAGUCUUUUAAUUAAAUGAAUAUAUUUCAUUUUUAUUCACAUUAUUAAAAGAGUAGGAUAUUUGUGGAACUCAAUUUAACAGUUCAUGGAAAUAAUAUUUAAGGUGUGUGUGUGUUGGAGAGAGAGAGUAUGUGUGUGUGUGUGUGUGAGAGAGAGAGAGACUGUGUGUGUGUGUGUGUGUGAGAGAGAGAGAGAAAGUAUAUGUGUAUGCAGUGGUGGAUUUAGGCAUAGGUGACAUGGGCAGCCGCCCAGGGUGGUAUCUUGCCGGGGGCGGCAUGGGGGCAAAAAAAUAUUCCGAAUGGUGACAUUUGUGCGAUCGGAUUUCUAUCACUCAUUUGAACGUCACGUCAAUGAUAUCAUGUCACCGUGUGGGACUGUGGGUCAAUUAACCUUGUCGGAGUGGGGGCCCUGAUGCUAGUUUGUGAGCUUGGCAGGCUACUGCCUGGGAAGGUCUCCCACUCAGAAGUACGAGAUGGAAGGGGGCGGGGGUAGGUUGACCUCAGGUCUCCCCACUAGAAGCCAGAGGUAGGGGAAGCGGGGGUAGGUUGACCUCAGGUCUCCCCACUAGAAGCCAGAGGUAGGGGGGGCGGGGGUAGGUUGACCUCAGGUCUCCCCACUAGAAGCCAGAGGUAGGGAGGGGCGAGGGUAGGUUGACCUCAGGUCUCCCCACUGGAAGCCAGAGGUAGGGGGAUGGGGGUAGGUUGACCUCAGGUCUCCCCACUGGAAGACAGAGGUAGGGGGAGCAGGGGUAGGUUGACCUCAGGUCUCCCCACUGGAAGCCAGAGGUAGGGGGAGCGGGGGUAGGUUGACCUCAGGUCUCCCCACUGGAAGCCAGAGGUAGGGGGAUGGGGGUAGGUUGACCUCAGGUCUCCCCACUAGAAGCCAGAGGUAGGGCUAGCGGGGGUAUGUUGACCUCAGGUCUCCCCACUGGAAGCCAGAGGUAGGGGGAGCGGGGGUAUGUUGACCUCAGGUCUCCCCACUAGAAGCCAGAGGUAGGGGGAGCGAGGGUAGGUUGACCUCAGGUCUCCCCACUAGAAGCCAGAGGUAGGGGGAGCGGGGGUAGGUUGACCUCAGGUCUCCCCACUGGAAGCCAGAGGUAGGGGGAGCGGGUAUAGGUUGACCUCAGGUCUCCCCACUGGAAGCCAGAGGUAGGGGGAGCGGGGAUAGGUUGACCUCAGGUCUCCCCACUAGAAGACAGAGGUAGGGGGAGCGGGGGUAGGUUGACCUCAGGUCUCCCCACUAGAAGCCAGAGGUAGGGGGAGUGGGGGUAUGUUGACCUCAG
rnacentral:lncRNA from 1 species